CCUACGGGAGGCAGCAGUAGGGAAUAUUGCUCAAUGGGGGAAACCCUGAACCAGCAACGUCGCGUGCAGGAUGAAGGUUUUCGGAUUGUAAACUCCUUUUGUUAGAGAAGAUAAUGACGGUAUCUAACGAAUAAGCACCGUCUAACUCCGUGCCAGCAGCCGCGGUAAUACGGAGGGUGCAAGCGUUACUCGGAAUCACUGGGCGUAAAGAGCGCGUAGGCGGGAUAGCAAGUCAGAUGUGAAAUCCUAUGGCUUAACCAUAGAACUGCAUUUGAAACUGUUAUUCUAGAGUAUGGGAGAGGUAGGUGGAAUUCUUGGUGUAGGGGUAAAAUCCGUAGAGAUCAAGAGGAAUACUCAUUGCGAAGGCGACCUGCUGGAGCAUAACUGACGCUGAUGCGCGAAAGCGUGGGGAGCAAACAGGAUUAGAUACCCUAGUAGUC
rnacentral:rRNA from 1 species